rnacentral:sRNA from 1 species
GCUGAGUAUAAUGGUGCGAGCCUGUAGGCCCAGCUACUAAGGAGGCUGAGGCAGGAGAAUUGCUUGAACUCGGGAGGCAGAGGUCGCGGUGAGCCGAGAUCACGCCAUUGCACUCCAGCCUGGACAACAAGAGCUAGACUCUGUCUCAAAAAAAAAAAAUAAAAAUAAAUAAAUAAAAAUGAAAAUAAAAAAAGUGAUGCCCUCUUAGAAGCCAGAGACCACUAGGCUGCCUUAGGUAGGGUGAAAAGGCCCAGGUCAGAGAUGGAGCAGGUCAAAACUCCUGUGCUGAUCAGUAGUGGGAUAGUGCCUAUGAAUCACCACUGCACUCCAGCCUGGGCAACAUAGUGAGAUUCUGUCUCA